rnacentral:sRNA from 1 species
UUCUAGCCCCGAUUGACGCAUUUGUUUGAGCUCUUUUUUGUUUUUUUCAAACAAAAAAAGCGAGUGCGGAAAGCGGGAAAUUGC